AGAGUUUGAUCCUGGCUCAGAUUGAACGCUAGCGGGAUGCUUUACACAUGCAAGUCGAACGGCAGCGCGAGAGAGCUUGCUCUCUUGGCGGCGAGUGGCGGACGGGUGAGUAAUAUAUCGGAACGUGCCCAGUAGCGGGGGAUAACUACUCGAAAGAGUGGCUAAUACCGCAUACGCCCUACGGGGGAAAGGGGGGGAUCGCAAGACCUCUCACUGUUGGAGCGGCCGAUAUCGGAUUAGCUAGUUGGUGGGGUAAAGGCUCACCAAGGCAACGAUCCGUAGCUGGUUUGAGAGGACGACCAGCCACACUGGGACUGAGACACGGCCCAGACUCCUACGGGAGGCAGCAGUGGGGAAUUUUGGACAAUGGGGGAAACCCUGAUCCAGCCAUCCCGCGUGUAUGAUGAAGGCCUUCGGGUUGUAAAGUACUUUUGGCAGAGAAGAAAAGGUACCUCCUAAUACGAGGUACUGCUGACGGUAUCUGCAGAAUAAGCACCGGCUAACUACGUGCCAGCAGCCGCGGUAAUACGUAGGGUGCAAGCGUUAAUCGGAAUUACUGGGCGUAAAGCGUGUGUAGGCGGUUCGGAAAGAAAGAUGUGAAAUCCCAGGGCUCAACCUUGGAACUGCAUUUUUAACUGCCGAGCUAGAGUAUGUCAGAGGGGGGUAGAAUUCCACGUGUAGCAGUGAAAUGCGUAGAUAUGUGGAGGAAUACCGAUGGCGAAGGCAGCCCCCUGGGAUAAUUCUGACGCUCAGACACGAAAGCGUGGGGAAGCAAACAGGAUUAGAUACCCUGGUAGUCCACGCCAUAAAAGAUGUCAACUAGCUGUUGGGGCCGUUAGGCCUUAGUAGCGCAGCUAACGCGUGAAGUUGACCGCCUGGGGAGUACGGUCGCAAGAUUAAAACUCAAAGGAAUGGUUCGGGGACCCGCACAAGCGGUGGAUGAUGUGUAUUAAUUCGAUGCAACGCGAAAAACCUUACCUACCCUUGACAUGUCUGGAAAGCAGAAGAGAUGUGGCCGUGCUCGCAAGAGAACCGGAACACAGGUGCUGCAUGGCUGUCGUCAGCUAGAGUCGUGAGAUGUUGUGGUUAAGUCCGACAACGAGCGCAACCCUGGUCAUUAGUUGAUACGCAAGAACAGUUUAAUGAGACUGCCGGUGACAAACCGGAGGAAGGUGGGGAUGACGUCAAGUCCUCAUGGCCCUAAUGGGUAGGGCUUCACAGGUCAUACAAGGGUAGGGACAGAGGGUCGCCAACCCGCGAGGGGGAGCCAAUCUCAGAAACCCGAUGGUAGUCCGGAUAGCAGUGAGCAACUCGACUGCGAGAAGUCAGAAUCGCUAGUAAUCGCGGAUCAGAAUGUCGCGAAGAAUACGAUCGCGGGUCUUG
rnacentral:rRNA from 1 species